rnacentral:RNase_P_RNA from 1 species
GAAGCUGGCCAGACAGUCGCUGGCAAAUGUUUCAGCUGCCAGAGGAAAGUCCGGGCUCCACAGAGCAGGGUGCUGGGUAACGCCCAGGCGCCGCGAGGCGACGAAGAGGGCCACAGAGACGAGUCGUGACGAGUAAGUCGAUAAGACUGCGCGUUGCGGGUGAAACGAGGCAACCUCCACCCGGAGCAACAUCAAAUAGGCGGACGACGACGUGGCUCGCCGAGUCCGCGGGUAGAUGGCUCGAGCCUCGGGGCAACCCGGGGCCUAGAGGAAUGACUGUCCAAGACAGAACCCGGCUUAUCGGCCAGCUUCACUU